ensembl:miRNA
UUGGGAGACCAGGGGAAGACUCCACUAACUAGCCUUCUCCCAUGUGUCUCCUCCGCCCA